rnacentral:rRNA from 1 species
AGUGAACGCUGGCGGUAGGCCUAACACAUGCAAGUCGAACGGCAGCACAGUAAGAGCUUGCUCUUACGGUUGGCGAGUGGCGGACGGGUGAGGAAUACAUCGGAAUCUACUUUUUCGUGGGGGAUAACGUAGGGAAACUUACGCUAAUACCGCAUACGACCUACGGGUGAAAGCAGGGGAUCUUCGGACCUUUCGCGAUUGAAUGAGCCGAUGUCGGAUUAGCUAGUUGGCGGGGUAAAGUCCCACCAAGGCGACGAUCCGUAGCUGGUCUGAGAGGAUGAUCAGCCACACUGGAACUGAGACACGGUCCAGACUCCUACGGGAGGCAGCAGUGGGGAAUAUUGGACAAUGGGCGCAAGCCUGAUCCAGCCAUACCGCGUGGGUGAAGAAGGCCUUCGGGUUGUAAAGCCCUUUUGUUGGGAAAGAAAAGCAGCAGGUUAAUACCCCGCUGUUCUGACGGUACCCAAAGAAUAAGCAACGGCUAACUUCGUG